UCUAUACUUGGGUUUAGGGUUUAGUAUUUAGAAGGUGGAAGUUUAGGUUUGGGUUUAGUGAUAGCAUUUUUGGGUUUAGUAUUCAAAAGUUAGGUCCGAGUUUAUCAUUGAGGAGUUGUGUGUUGGAUUGGAGUCCUAUACUAUUCAAAAAUUAAGUUUGGAUUUAGUUUAAUAUUACAUAAUAUUAUAUACUAUUUUCAGAUUUUGAUAAUUGGGUUUAAGGUUUAUAUUUGGGUUUAGGGUUUAGUAUUUAGAUGAAAUAGUGAUGUUUAAAGUUUAGGGUUUAGUAUUUAGGAAUUGAGGUUUGGAGUUUUAGUAUUUACUAGAUGUGAGUGGAUUUUGAAUCAUAUUAAUUUUAGUGAUAUGGUAUAGAAAAAUCAGAUGCAUAUUUAUGUGUUAAACAAAAGUGCGGUGUUGGUUGUAUUACGUGUGAUAAU
rnacentral:lncRNA from 1 species